rnacentral:rRNA from 1 species
UACGAAGGGUGCAAACGUUGCUCGGAAUUAUUGGGCGUAAAGCGCACGUAGGCGGCUUUGCAAGUCCCAUGUGAAAGCCCACGGCUUAACCGUGGAAGUGCAUGGGAAACUGCAGAGCUUGAGUACUUAAGAGGAUCGCGGAAUUCCCGGUAUAGAGGUGAAAUUCGUAGAUAUUCGGCAAGGAACACCAGUGGCGAAGGCGGCUCGACUGGGACCGUAUACGACGCUGAGGUGCGAAAGCGUGGGGAGCAAACAGG